AGACUUUACUAGUCCCGACUCUUUUACCGUAGUCGGGUAUAAACUUGCUUUUAUUUGUCUCUAUUUUUAAGAUUUACCCAUGAAGUUCUGUGGUGUGGAGGGGAAUGACCCACUGAAGAAGACAUACAAUCUUGGAAAAGAUCUGGGCUAACGUCUCUGAUGUCCUGCUGCAACACAUUCAUGUUGUGAUGUAAUAAAAUCACAUCCGUUGUUUUCCUGGUUGGAUUACGAACAACGAUGGAUUCUCUGCAAGUGUCCCAAUCAGGCUGGUGUUCACUCGGUGACCCACAGGUGGCAGUGUGGGACCAGCCGCCGGUUUGUGCCGCAGGUCGUCGUCAUUCACUCUGUUGCUGCUGGUGACAGAAAAACAG